rnacentral:lncRNA from 1 species
AAACAGCUCAACUAGCUCGACUCGGGAGCUCAUCAUGCCAGGGGACAUACUGUAGGCUUCCGGAGCCAGCUAGUUAUUAUUCCACCAUGGGCAACAACAACUAGUUACCAGUUCGUUUAACUAAAUAUGUUCCAACUCAUAGCUAGUUUAUCCAGUGACCACCGCAUUUAGAAAGAUAGCAACUGACUGAACUCUAGCAAGCUGGCUAGCUAGCAUGCUAGCUCACACUGGCCAUGUAGUAGCCAAUACCAGACCGGUUGUGGAAAGUGUCAUCUAGUAUGGAAAGGAGGCAACAAUGGCUCUCCCGACUGAAGAGUGAAUUCGGCAACAGCCCCUUGGUCUCCAACGUGGCUUUCGGCUUCAUCCUGAUGGGCUUGGAGAAGCUGGUUGAGCUGGAGUUCGAGUGUCCGUGCGACCCCAAAUGGAACGGGCUAUUUUCUUCCGCCUUCUUCGUCAUUCCUGCUAUCAUGGCCUUCAUGCUGAUGCUAAUCAUCCAGGACUGCAGGUACGACCUGAGCGGCUGCCCCAGGACAGUGUCCAUCUCCAGCCUGGUUCCGCCCAUCGUCUGGCUGAUCCUGCUCUUCCUGGAUGGACAGUACUUUGCGUGUGCGCUAACAGACUGGAACGGCAGGUUUGUGAUUGUUGACAAGGCGGCUCCUCAGAAGUGGUGUGAGCCUCCUCAUGACGAUGGCACGCUGCAGGAUCUCAUGGUGCACUCUCAGGAAUUAUUUGUGGAGUCUCAGUGAUGUCCUACCCCAGCCAAACCCGGACAACGCUGGGCCAAUUGUGCGCCGCCCUAUGGGACUCCCAAUCACGGCUGUUUGUGAUACAGCCUGGAUUCAAACCAGGGUGUCUGAAGUGACACCUCUAGCACUGAGUUGCAGUGCCUUAGACCGCUGCGCCACUCGGGAGCCCCAUGACCGACUCAUGUCCACUACAUCCACAAGAUGUAUUUUCUUCUAAUGAAGUCUUCUUCUUCUUCUAG